UGUAACCACAGGUUGCUGAGACGGUAAUCCGAAAGACAUUUUUUUUGUAUGUGACCUUUUUCUCCUUCUAUCCUUCGGUUUUUAAUUUAUAGUUUUUAUUUCCCAACUAUUUCCUGUACAAAAAUGUGAGCUAACCUUUUAUGUUUUCAAGAGCUCCGAUCUCAUCCCUAGCGGAUGCCACUUCACUACACUAGAUGACACAUGGUGAGGGCCCCUAAGUAGGUGAUUCUUUAUAAAACAUCACCUCCUUCAUUUUAAUCCCAUAAAAUUGAAAAAAAUCCCCAAAAACAGUCAUAGAGAAAGGUCCUAAAUUCUCCAUAGAUGUUGAUGUUUUCAAGUUAGAAGUUGAACGAAAGUUGCUCUAUGCUGCGAGCUCGUUAUUUUGUUAUAAUUUUCCCCAUUGAAUUUGUAGAAUAUCUCUUCGGGUAUUGUGGGUUACAACUGUGUAUUGAUUUUGUGGCAAUGUUUCAGGUGUGUUUAUCAAGGUAAGAAUCAUUUUUAUCGAUUUAUGUGUAAGUUAGACCCCGAAGAGUAUUUUACUAUAGAAAUUUGUAUGCUGGGUCGAAUAGUCCUAGAACUUCUUGUUAUUUUGGUUGAUUGGAUUUCUACCAUGGUUCAUGAAAAAAAUUUCCCUUUUAAUGUCUCCCUUAAUAUUCUUAAGAUACCAUAUCAAUUCUUGUUAUUUAUUGAGACAAAAAAUGUGUGGCUUCGAGAACCUUCUUAGUUAUGUUAAAAUACUAUAUUUAAGGAGGUAUGGAUGGAGGGAAUUGGUGUAUAUCUAUUAAUAUUCACAUAUGCAAGUUGUCAACUGAGAGAUCAUGAAGUAUGCCUUAAAAUAGUAUCGUGAGAGCUCGUCGCUCCGUCAAGAUAUAGUUUGCAUAUUGUUGUUGGAUUUAGUAAUUGUUUAUAUUUUUUAUUGGAAAAAUUUUAUGCGUUGGUCUUGGGUGGUUGUGACUGUGACACUAAAACCUAUUGAUUGGCCAUAGUGUGUUGCAUCCAUCAUUGAAACGCACUAAUGUGAUUGGGGUAGUAUGGUCGAGCUUUAAGUGAUGCUAAUAGACAUUACAUCGAAAAGGUAUGUUAAGGCCACCCUUCCUUUUGAAAUUUUCCUUUAUAUGCUAAAGUUUGAUAUGGAUAUAUUAUUGUUAAUGAAUAACUUGUAUCCGUAGUAAUUUAUGUUGGAUAUUUUAGUAAAUUAUCACAUCUUGUCAAAACUCUUAUUCCUUUGUUAGUGACCGAGCUCUAGACAUGACCGAAACUUGAGUAUAGAUUAGACAUAGUAUAUGGUCAUUUAUCUUUCUUUGAGCCAUGUAAUUUGUCAGUUUUUUACCUACAAGAUUGUAUUGCCUACUAAAGACACAUCAAUUCUUGUAUGCUCGAGCUACUUAGAGCCUCAAGCUAUCCAAACACCCAGAGCCUAUAGGCAAGGCAGAUACAAAGACUACAAGUCUAAAUAAAUACUGAGCCUAUGGGCUAGAUAGAUAUAGAGACUACGAGCUAGAUAGAUAUAGAUCCUAUGGGAUAGAUAAAAACAAAACCUCUGGGAUAAAAAAAAUCAUACAAAGCCUACAUGGUAGAUAGACUUAUUGAUUAGGGGUUAAUUGGUACAAGUGAACUAUAAGGUCCAGUUAUGUUCAACAGGGGUAGUUAGAUUACAAUGCAAACUAUCGUGCUUAUGGAGUCCCAAGUUUUUUGCUUGAUUUUUGUAUGUACCUACAAACAAGGCUUAUGGGAGGAAGGAUAGGUUAUUGUUUUCUUAGUUGAUUAUUUAUUUUAUAUUAGAGAAGGUAAAUAUGUUUAAGUUCUUUGAUGCUCAUGUCUUGUUAUCUUCAACUAAUAUAAUCUAAAUCUAGUUCAUCCUUUUAGCUUGCCUUCAUACUUGGUACUUUAUUUUAUACCGAAGAUUAGAGCCUGAGGGUUCUUUAUUCAUCCCUGCAGGUCUCGGCGGAUGACCAGAUAGGCCUUCCAAGUAGCAUUAUCAAACUCCAAUAGGUUGGAUAGCUUAUUUCUUUUGGAGUUGCUAGAGUUUCUACAGUUUUUGUGCCUUUUAGGGUAAAUAUUUCUUAGGUAGGUUAGGUAUAAUACCCCGUACCUUUUUCUAGCACAAAAUCAUCUCGAGAAUGUUAGAACUUGCUUUGAAAUAUGAAUCUAUUUUUGUACAUGUGGUAUUCCUAAGAUUUUCACUUUUUGUCACGUGGAAAAUCAAAUAAGCUUUCCAUUGAUACCAAUUUCAUCAAUAUACAGUGUCAAAUGAGAAAGUUAUGGUCAAAAUCCAGAAGGCAAUCAGACCUUCUAGAUGUGACGAGACAGGCCGAUGGACCAUCAGACAAGCGAUAGACCGUCAACCAUGACCGUCGCAUCAAGGCAGUGAGCUAGCUUUCUAGAUGAGUACAACGGAGAUUCCGACGGAUCAUCAGACUAGCGACAGACCGUCGCACCCCACCAUCUCACCGAGGUAGUAAGCUCCAGUUCUGUCUUAGUCCAACAGACCAUCGACCCAGCAUGGACCAUCGUACCCCACCGUCGCAUAUCCUGCUUAGUAUUUUUAAGUCAUUUUAACAGGGGUAUUUUUAUCUUUUACCACCCACUUAUAUAUACCCGGUUAUAUCCGACCUCAGCUCAUUUGUUCAUUAUUAUUUCACAACAACAAAAUUCGAGUUUUCUCUCUAAAAUUAAUCCCCAAGAAUAAAAUACAAAUCUUUUUCAAGAACUAAAAGAUUCCAAUCCUUCAAGUUCAAGAACUUCCAGAAACUCAACCCAUGUAUGCAUAAUGUUCAUUCAUGGACUUCUUUCGUCCAUGAAGCCCAGGAAUCUCUUUUCUAAGUUAAAGUUUAUGGAUUUUCUUUAUGAAUUUAAUGAUUGGGCUGCUCUUGUUCAUGUUGACAAUGAGUAAUUGAAUUCUAUUUCAUGUUGGGUAACAAAUUGUAUGUGGAUUUGAUUAGUAUAGAUGUAAUGUCAUGUAAACCUAUGAUUAAACUCUUGAAUGAUGAAAUUACAUUUGAAUCAUGAUGUUUAAUUGUUGUAUAAUGUGUUCUGCACUUACUAUGCCUACCAUGUGUUUGAUUAAAUGCCUAGAUGAAGAAAAUACCCAACUAGCAUGAUAUCAUGAAAUCCCCAUGUAUGUACAAGUUUAUGCCUAUCACCUGUUUGAUGAAAUGCUUCAAUAAAGGAGUUAUGGAUGAUGGUGAUCAUUAUGUGCUCAAGUAAGCCAUACUUUUUUAGUUUCCUUCUAUCGUGUCCUGGGGGUACUUGUACCCAAAACAUUAGUUGUAUGCCUAGAGCCAUGUCAUGUUUUCACGAUACUCUUAGUAAACCCAUGAUACUUAGACUUUACAUAGUCCUAUAACUCAUGAAUCUCAAUAAUCUCAAUAAGUUAUCAGAUCUAAGAAAUAUUCCGUUAAUCAAUGUAACUCGGUUAACUCAGUCCAAUUUAGUUUAGAUAAUCAUGUCCAGAGUCCAUUUAGAUUGGAGUAGGAAUUAGCACCGAGUGAACCUAAGGAUGGGAACAUACAUUGUCAGAUGAGGGUGUGAUUUUUAGAAGUCAUCCUUGCAUUCCAGAAAUAUGUAGCUAGCAUAGGUCGAGACAUCAACACUGUUCGAUGAGGGUUGAUGAGGUGGAUAAACAGUGUUAGAUGAGGGUCCCACCGUUCUCAUUUAGGGGACACUAUUAGAAAAGGGUCACCCAUAGCUUGUCUUUAUCAGUAGCACGAUAUUGGUACCCUUCCAAUUGAGGUUACAGAUUGGGCCCCAACUCAACCAUAAUGGCGUAUUAGGGGCAUGUCAGUUAGAUAACUACUUCCCAUAGUUUCAGUAUCAGUACCAGACAAGAACUCAUAUAGUUCUUUAGAUUCCAGGACUGUCAGAUACAGUCAACCCAGUUUAGUAUGUAACUCAGAUAAUUCCAUCAGAAUCAGGAAUGUUAGAUACAAUCACUCAUGUUAUCAGUUAUAUCAGUAUCAGUAUGUUAUGUUAGCAGUAUUCAGAUUUAGUAAUCAUGUUAUCAUGGUAUUAGUGUCAGUUAUUAUGUCUCAUAUAUGUAUUCUCAUGCUCAUGAUAGUCAGUCUGUUAUUGUUAUUGUUCAUACAUAUGAACCCCAUGCAUUUAGUCUACCUCACAUACAUCCCGGUACAUUUAGUCGUACUGAAGCAUUCGUGCUAUGGUGUCUUAUACCAUAGGUUCAAAGGCAUGCGCUCCAGAGCAUCAGUAGAUUCCAGAUAUCAGCAGUCAGAGUUAGCAGUGAGUCCUCAUCCUUUGAGGAGAUGAUUAUUUCUCUAUUAUCUAAUUAAUUAGUUUAUUAGUUGGAUUUAGUUGGGGACAUGUCCUAUCAACUCCUCAUUCAAAUAGUUCAGUCAGUUAGAGGCUUUCCAGACUGUUAUGUUCAGUUAGUUUAUUUCAGUUGUUUUAGAUAUUUCAUACCCUAUUUAGAUGUUAUACUUUUCAUCAGAUAUUAUAUUAUAGUUUGAACCUUAUGGACUUUCAGUUCAUGUUUUCACAUUAUUUAGUAUUUUAUACAGUAUACAGGUAUAGAUAUCAGUCAUGGGUUAGCUUGUGGUCCUUCAGGGUCUUGAGCACCGUGUAACGUUCUGGGUACCAGAUUUGAAGUGUUACAUUUGGGCCUUGUCUUGAUCAAGUUUACUACUCUUAAAGGCUCAUAGCCUUUGGUUUUUAUAGAUGAUAAAAAAUGAUAUCUACUACACCAAAAUAGUCUGUAAAAAAUCACAACAACACACCUAAACCCGCAACAACAAGACAACAGUACGAUACCAAAAAUAAACACAAACUUAAGACAGUAAAAGGAUAGGUAACUUGACACAAAGAGAACUCAUUAGGUAGCAACUAAAGAGUGUAUAAAACUGUAAAACCUCUACAAAACAAGUUAACAAGCACCAAGAUCUUACGUAAACCCAAGAGGAACUCGGUCUACUCAAGAACUCAUGUAUCUAUCCGAUACACACAACACAAGAAAAAAACAAUCUCUUGUGAUGUCAUUGGUGGGAUACUCUCUCCUAAGAUGAUGGUGUUUCAAUGUUAUAAUAUUGAUUAAAAAAUAAUCUAAGGAACAAAACUAAGGAAAAUGUUUAAAUAGUCUAUUUCAAAGGUGUUACAAAAAGACCCCUUUACCCUUAAUGAAGGGGUGGCAGGUGUGGAGUGUUUUAGGACAGCCUUGGGUGUAUUUUGAUCACCUAAGGUCAUCCCUAAUUUCAAGGUGUACAUUCCCUUGGGCGAGUUCACAAAAAGCUCAACCACUUCCAUUUUCAUAAAAACGCCUUGAACUCUUUGUAGUUACCAAUCUUGGCUUCUUGUAAAUUGUCUCGAGUUCAUGACUCCCGUAUCAUCCUCUCCAUAUUGAGAGGAGUUUGACCUCAAAAACAUGGUUUCUUCAUCUUAAAUGGUAUCAAUACAUAAGAGAUCACACAUAUUUAACGUGUUAUGCACUUGGUAUUUCGGAGGCUAGUCGAUCUUGUAAGCAUUAUCAUUGAUUCUUUAAGGAUCCUGGAAUGGACCAUCAGCUCGUGGAAGCAAAUUUUCCUUUCUUUGGUUGGGAAAUCAUUUUUUUUGUAGGUGUACCCACACCAAAACUCUCGUCUCAAGCACUAGGUAUCUUUUUCCCUUGUUGACUUAUUUGGCCACCUUUUUCUUCUUCUUCUCAAGCUACAACCUCACCUUCUCAAGUAAGAUUUUCAUAGAUUCAGCCUUCUUAGUUCCAUCUAAGCUAACAAAAACAUCACUUGGCAAAGGAGUUAUAUCCAAGGGGAUUAGGGGCUAGGGUUUAAGCCAUAGACACAUUUAAAUGGCGUGAUGCUACUUGAAUGGAUUACCCAAUUGUAAGAAAAUUGUAUGAAUGGUGGAUGAUCUUACCAAUAAGUCAACUUACCUUUAACCAUGGAACUUAGCAUAUAACCCAAGGUUCUAUUUACUACUUCCAUUGGCCAUCGGUUUGUGGGUGGAAAGACGUAGAAAACAACAACUUGGUACCAAACCCACCUCACAUUGACUUCCAAAAGUGACUAAGGAACUUAGUGUAAAUAUCACUUACAAUGGUAUUUGGGAUCCCGUGCAACUGAACAACAUUUUCAAUAAACAAAGAAGCUACCUAAGCCGUAUCUUCACUAUUUUUGCAAGGAAUAAAAUGUACCAUUUUGGAGAAAAGAUCAACAACAACAAAGAUGUUAUCUCAACUCCUUUGAGUUUGUGGCAGCCCUAAUACAAAAUCCAUAGAAAUAUCAAACCACAGAUGUAAUGGAGUGGGAAGCGGGGUGUACAACCCAUGAGGAUGGAGCCUAGACUUAGCACUCAUACAAUCCAUGCAUUGGCCGCAAACUUUCACAACAUCUUUGUACAUCCUUGUCCAACUAAAUUAUUACUCUGAUAUUCUGAGGGUCUUAUCAAUUCCAAAGUGGCCCAUGAGACCGCCAUCAUGUGCCUCCCUAACAAACAACUCUCUCCAAGAGCUAGAAGGUACACACAGUCGUAUUCCCUAAAAUAAGUACCCAUCAAACACGACAUAGCGGAUGGAAUUUGAAUGCCUCCACUCCCUCACCACCGCCUUUACUUUCCNNNNNNNNNNNNNNNNNUUUCCCUACCCACAGCUUUACUUUCCCUAAAGAUAGGAGCUAAGUAAGGGUCCUCGAGAUAUAAAGACUUGAGGAUCUCGCACCCCAUUAGCUUGGACGACAAUGUGGACACAAGAACAUGCUUUCUAGACAACGUAUCAGCUACCACAUUAUCCUUACCUCUUUUAUGUUGAAUCACAUAAGGAAAGGUUUCAAGAAAUUCAAUCCAUUUGGUAUGCCAUUUGGUAAGUCUGUCUUGUUCUCGAAGGCACUUCAAAGAUCUAUGAUUGUUCGAAUUACGAAUUCUUUAGUCCAAAGAUAGUGUUUCCAAUUACCUAAUGCUCUAACCAAGGCACACAACUCCAAAUCAUACGUAGAGUAUUUUAGAGUUGCUCCUUUGAUCUUUUCACUAAAGUAAGCUGCAGGCUUCAAUUCUUGCAUCAAAAUUGCUCCUAUGCCCACUUUUAUAGCAUCAAAUUCUAUUUCAAAAUCUUGUCAAAGUUAGGAAAUUGCAAUAAUGGUGCCAAAAUGAGGAUAUCUUUCAAGGUCUUAAAGGCCUUAGAUUGCUCUUCACCCACUUAAAAGGUUGGUCCUUUUGGAUGAUUUCGGUCAAGGGGGAUGCAAUAGUACUAAAUACUUUGACUAACCUCCUAUAAAAAUUUUCCAACCCGUGGAAGCUCCAAACUUCACCCACGGUUUUAGGGGUUGGCCAAUCUUUAAUGGCGGUUAUCUUGGAUUCGUCUACCUAUACUCCCCUCAAGAUUACAACAAAUCCCAAAAACACAACCUUAUAAACACCAAAGGAGCAUUUUUCAAUAUUAGCAUACAACUUUUCUUUCCUAAGAACAUCAAACACUCCUUAGAUGCAAUACAUGUUAAUUAAGGGACUUGACUAUAAACUAAAACAUCAUCAAAGUACACAACCAAAAACUUUCCAAAAAAUGGCAUCAUCACGUGAUUCAUUAGCCACAUAAAAGUACUAUGAGUGUUGUUUAUACCAAAUAGCAUGACCAUCCACUCAUAUAGACCAAACUUAGUCUUGAAUAUGGUCCUUCAUUCAUCACCCGGUUGCAUACGAAUUUAGUGAUAUCAACUCCUAAGAUCAACCUUAGAAAAUGCACAAGAUCCAUUUAGUUCAUUAAUCAUAUCAUCUAACCUAGGAAUAGGAUGAAGAUACUUUAUCGUAAUUUUAUUUAUGGCUUAGAAGUCUACUUAUAUUUGCUAUGUCCCAUCCUUCUUCGACAAAAGCAACACCAGGACCCACACAAAAUCAUGGUUUUCUUGAUGUAUCCUUUGUUGAGAAGGUCCUCAACUUGCCAUUAGAGUUCCUUUAUAUCCAUGGUGUUGCUCCUAUACGCCGGCUUGUUGGGUAAUUGUGACCUCGGAACAAAGUCGAUUUCGAGCUCAAUUCCUCAAAGUGGAGGAAGUCCUUGCAGCAAUUCACUAGGAAAUACAUCAUCAAAUUUCUACAAAACAUUAUAAAUAGAAAACGGGAUAGGGGAAGUGGGUAGGUUAGCAUUCAAAACAUGUUCCAAGGUAACAUGGGAGUAGUAUCAUCAUAUUAUUUGAAGACAUCGCCCGUUCAAGACAACAUUACCAUUGAAUCCCUACCCCUCAAAGUCGAGACUCCCUCUUCACCCUCACCCUUCCCACUCUUAGGUUCAUCCUCUAUACCCAUGGGUUCCUUCUCUUUCUUUCCCUUUCCUUGAAAACUCUUUAUUUUUCAAUGUGCCUCACACACUUGUGAUCGUGAUAGUGGUCGAAGGUUGUACGUUCGACCCUUGAACUCAAAGGAUUAGUAGUUGGUUUAGCCAUCAUGUUUGGUUGACCUAUCAUAGUGACAUGGCUGACCCAACAAAAUAUUAUAAGCUUGCAGAGGAAUGAUGUUGCAAAGUACCUUAUUCUCAUAAUUUCCAACUUUGAAUCAAAUCACUAUUUGACGAGUUACCUUCAACUCUCCACAAUUGUUCAACCAUUCGAGUUUAUAUGGAUUUGCAUAUGGAGUAGUUGGAAACUUCAAGUGAUCUACCAUCGAGGUACUAGCUACAUUAGCACAACUUCCGCUAUCAGUAAUUAAGAAGCACACACUCCCCAUAAUAAGGCAUUUAGUAUGAAAGAGUUUUUCCCAUUGGCUAGGAUCAUGCAACGCUUUGCUAAUCAUAACUAUCAAUACCACAUAAUUAGGUACUUCAAGUUCACAUUUUUGAAGCCAAACCUCCUCUUCAUUAUCAUCACUAGUCCUCUUGGACUCCCCUCUCUCUUCAUCUUAAGAGGAUUCUUUAUUUUCAACCAUUUCAAGCCCUAAUUCUUCCCCAAAGAAAUACAAUUUCCCUUUUAUCAAUAUGACAUUUCUCCGAUUAGGACACUCACUAGCCUUGUGUCCUUAUUCAUGGCCUUUGAAGCAUUGGAAUCCCUAGACAUUAGAAGAGACAUUUGGCUUUCCUCAAAGCGUGGAGGAGGUGGUUGAGAAAUCUGGCUCAUAGGUAGAGAGACCUUGGUUGGUUGUUGUUUGGACUUGCUUCACCCCGAAGUCGAUGGAACCACUUCUUUCCCCUUGGUCCAAUUGGAGGAACCUUGGUAUUUUUUGGUUUUGUUUGUCGAUGUUUCCUUGUUCUCUCAUUCAAUCUCCAAAUCCUCUUGAAAGAUUCCUUCAAUAGUUUCAAAAUUAUUAAGUGUCUGAUGUGUGAGCAGAUGCUAACACAUUUAAGGCUUUUAACUGAGAAUAAUUGCAAAGUCUUAAGCAACUUUUAUCAGUUUUGAUUGUUUUAUAUUUGAUUUUGCAGUAGAAGCUAACCUGAUAGAGAACCAAUAAGAAUGGAAGCAAAGAAGUUGAAAACUGAAGAAAUUCAAAGUGAUGUGUGGCUGACGAUAUUAUGAUAGGUCGUCAGCCCUGUGAUAAGCUAUCAACUUU
rnacentral:lncRNA from 1 species